rnacentral:rRNA from 1 species
AGCAGCCGCGGUAAUUCCAGCUCCAAUAGCGUAUAUUAAAGUUGUUGCAGUUAAAAAGCUCGUAGUUGAAUUUCGGGGUCUGUCCAUUGGUCGGGCUUCACGGUCCGUACUGGUGUGAUGGGUUCCUACCUUCUGAAUAACCAGCAUGCCAUUCAUUUGGUGCGUUGGUGAAGCAGAGCUAUUACCUUGAAAAAAUUAGAGUGCUUAAAGCAAGCUAGUGCUUGAAUAGAUUAGCAUGGAAUAAUAAAAUAGGACGGCUUGGUUCUAUUUUGUUGGUUUCUAGGAUCACCGUAAUGAUUAAUAGGGAUAGUUGGGGGCAUUAGUAUUCAAUUGUCAGAGGUGAAAUUCUUGGAUUUAUUGAAGACUAACUUCUGCGAAAGCAUUUGCCAAGGAUGUUUUCAUUAAUCAAGAACGAAAGUUAGGGGAUCGAAGACGAUCAGAUACCGUCGUAGUCUUAACCAUAAACUAUGCCGACUAGGGAUCGGACGAUGUUAAUUUUUAAUGACUCGUUCGGCGUCCG